AUGAAAUACACCUUCCAGGAUGGAGAUGUCAUACAACCAGUCAGCUUCCUCAAUGAGCUACGUCUACCCACCACUACAACAGUGUUUCCCGAAACAACAUUUGGUUUCUCUGUGACUCCUUCAAACCUCAUAUCUGGAUCAGCAGUGGUCAAAAGCAAGCUGGUGUUCAACUCCUCAUCUCCAGUCCCCAGUGAAUCUCUGGUCCUCAAUGCAAUCAAAACUCUGCGUAAUUCCAGAGAGUCACAGCUCAAUGAAUCAGUGAAGGUGGUGAAUGUCACCUAUGAGAGUAAGUGUCAUCAUUUUCACUUGGAAAGUUCUGAAAUGAGAUUGAGUCAAACAAUGAGGCAUUACAGGCUUUUGAAAAAUCUUUAAAUUACGUUUUCCUUCCAAACAGAAAUCUCAGAAACCUCCUAUGCUGUGUUCUUUACAUUUAACGUGAUUAACAUCAGCAUGCCAGAGGACCCUAAGUCUAGAGGCAACACCAGCCAGCAAGUGCAGGAUACCAUCAAUAAAGCGGUAAACUUAAAAUAAUAAACAGUGUAAAAAGGCUUAGGUACAAUGCCAGUUUUCACGAGAAACUGAUGAAUGGUUUGAUUUUUCUUUUGCAGCUGAACACUCUUCUGAAUGAACCUGGCAGUCUAAGUUUACAACCCAAGACCUCCAACUUCACGUAAGAUGCAAAUUUAUAUUUCAAUCUUGACUUUGUCUCCAAAAAUUUAGGUAAUCUAAGUAAUCCAAAACAAUAAUAAUAAUAAUAAUAAUAAUAAUAAUAAUAAUAAAUAUAGCUGCAAGCAGCAAUUACGGGGCCAAGCACUCCAGUGGCAAAUUGAGGAGCUAAGCAUGGCGUGGAGCAUCACACCAAAUGCAACAAUGAGCAAUUUCAACAAUUUUAGGAUGAUUGUAAUUGAAAUGGUGGAAAAAUCAUAAAAGCACUAGUAUUAUGAUUAAAUGGCUUAUUACUUUUGACCAACAAGUGGCGCUGUGAUCAAAUCAUUUUGGUGUGUUCUGUGUGAGGUGAGAAUGGCACACACAAAGUUUGGUGUCAGUAUGCCAAAGCAUUGCAGAGAUACAGGCUGAAGUGUCAUUUUGGCAUCAUGCCUGAAAUUCGUUGCUGUGGUAUGCGAAAACC
ensembl:lncRNA